GUUAUGGUAAAGUAACAUAUGGUCUCAAGUUUUACUUCAAAUAUCAGACCUCGGUUGAGUUUUGAACCUGUAGAGCACUUUCUUCUUCUUGGAAGUCUGGUUAUCGAUUGUGAUCACAAUCUUGCCCGGUUCACCCACCUUAAAAGAAUCGGUUAUCACUGGUUCGUCGGUUAACCCGAUCUUCCGGUUCUUAGAGACGAUUACAGCAUAGCUUCCCUCAGUGGUCGGCUCAAACUGAGCUCCGUAGCUCACAUCAGCACCCAAAACCCUAAGCUCCCAUGAAAGCGUGCAAGCCUGCCACAAAUCAACACAAUCCAAAAUUAACACUCUUAUGAAUCAACAACAUUUAUUUUUUUUACAAUAUGAACCUCUUUAAAUCGAAAUUCUGAAUAUAUUCACCUCAGAAGCAGGCAAAUCGAUGGUGUAUUGGGCAGCUGGUUUAACGAUGGCUUCGGUUACGGUGUCUUCAGUGGUUAAAGGAACAUCUUUGCUAAGUCCACCGUAUUUAACCGGAACUUGUUCAGGAGCAAUGUAUCUGUUUCCACCAACAAACAGAAAGCAGAGCUUAUUAGUAAGGAAAAAAAAAGCAAGAAAAUUUAAAUCAUCAAAUGGUAAAUUAAUUAAGUGGCUAAUUACUUGAAAAUUGUAUCGGCAGAUUUGGAUGGACCAGCAAGAACCAUCUUGCUCCUAGUCUUUGGCGACGUGACAAUAGAUCCGAAUGUUUUGUAGUAAGGAAUGUACCACCAUGGGACAUUGAUGAACAGCUGCAAAAAAAAAAAAAAAAACACAAUAUUUAUAAAACUUUUAACAUAACUUUAAUUGUAAUUCUAAUCAUGUUUUUCAAGAAUAAUUCUUUUUUCGUACCUCUCUAGUGGCGAAUUCGGGAUAAUUGUCCUCGAAUUGCUUGACGGCACGCCUGAUGAAUUGCCAAAGAGCUCUCUUUCCGAGUCCAGGAGCGUUCCUGAAGUCGCUGACGAACAUAAACGAAGAUUUAGCAUCAGGGCUUGUGAAAUCAAGACCUCUCACACACUUUUCUUGAAGCUGAAUCCUCCAGCUCAAGAACUUGUUCAGCUUCUCCUUGUCGGAGAAAAGCUCCUUGUUCUGAAACUCCCCGUAUGAGCUGUAUAUCACCACGUGUCCUUCCUUGUCCACUCCGUGAGCGAACACCAUCUUCUCGAACUCGCUCGCUUCUUCUCCGGCGGCUUCGGCUUCGAUGAGCUCGUCGAUUUUCAUCUCUUUGCGCCACUGGACAGUGUUUUUCAGCAUCGUCAAGGCUUCUUUAACCUUGAAGUCUCUCGCACGGAGGAAUUUGAGAAGGAUCACGUCGGAUCUCUCGUCCUGGAGGAGUGGAACUCCGUAGAUCGAUACUUCUUCCGGCUCAACAGGCUCCGUCUCGGCGACGACGGUCUCCACCACCACCGCCGCGGCGGAUUCCGGUGGACUAAUGGACACGAUCGACUCUUCGAUUGCUUCCACAGUCUUGGUCCCGUCUUCCUCAGCACCGGAGGCUUUCUCUGUGGUUACGGUGGCUGGUUUCUCUUCUGGUGUCUCCGAUUUGGUCUCCGCCGUCUCAGAUUUCUCCUCCGGCUUAACGGCUUCUUCUGGAACCGCCGGUUUCUCUUCUUCCUUCUUUUCUUCCUCUGUUUUCUCUUCUCCUUUGGAUUCCUCCUCUGCUGGUUUCUUCUCCUCCGGUUUAUCUUCCUUAACCGGCGCCGGAGCAGUGAAUUCCCGUUUGUUCAAAGCCUCCCUCACGAGCUCCUUGAACUCCUCUAGUGCCUUCUUCUCGAGUUCCUCAGGCGUUGGAACAACCACCUUCUCAACUGCAACCGUCUCUUCCUCCUUCACCGGAGCAGAUUUCUCCGCCUCC
rnacentral:lncRNA from 1 species